rnacentral:rRNA from 1 species
GAGUUCCCUUCGGGGACAUUGGUGACAGGUGGUGCAUGGUUGUCGUCAGCUCGUGUCGUGAGAUGUUGGGUUAAGUCCCGCAACGAGCGCAACCCUUGUCUUUAGUUGCCAUCAUUAAGUUGGGCACUCUAGAGAGACUGCCAGGGAUAACCUGGAGGAAGGUGGGGAUGACGUCAAAUCAUCAUGCCCCUUAUGCUUAGGGCUACACACGUGCUACAAUGGGUAGUACAGAGGGUUGCCAAGCCGUAAGG